rnacentral:rRNA from 1 species
AUUGAACGCUGGCGGCAUGCCUUACACAUGCAAGUCGAACGGCAGCACGGGAGCAGUCCUGGUGGCGAGUGGCGAACGGGUGAGUAAUAUAUCGGAACGUGCCCAGUCGUGGGGGAUAACGCAGCGAAAGCUGUGCUAAUACCGCAUACGAUCUAUGGAUGAAAGCGGGGGACUCGCAAGGGCCUCGCGCGAUUGGAGCGGCCGAUAUCAGAUUAGGUAGUUGGGGGGGUAAAGGCCUACCAAGCCUGCGAUCUUUAGCUGGUCAGAGAGGACGACCAGCCACACUGGAACUGAGCCACGGUCCAGACUCCUACGGGAGGCAGCAGUGGGGAAUUUUGGACAAUGGGCGCAAGCCUGAUCCAGCAAUGCCGCGUGCAGGAUGAAGGCCUUCGGGUUGUAAACUGCUUUUGUACGGAACGAAAAGGCUCUGGUUAAUACCUGGGGUUGAUGACGGUACCGUAAGAAUAAGCACCGGCUAACUACGUGCCAGCAGCCGCCGUAACAC